AUGCCGUAGCGGCAGGCCUAAUACAUGCAAGUCGAACGGUAACAUUGGUGCUUGCACCAGAUGACGAGUGGCGCACGGGUGCGUAACGCGUAUGCAACCUACCUUUUACUAGAGUAUAGCCCAGAGAAAUUUGGAUUAAUCCUCUAUAAUAUCUUUUAAUCUCCUGAUUUUAAAAAUUAAGGUUUUAACGGUAAAAAAGGGGGCAUGCGUCCUAUUAGUUUGUAGGUGAGGUAACGGCUCACCUAGACUACGAUAGGUAGGGGCCCUGAGAGGGGGAUCCCCCACACUGGUACUGAGACACGGACCAAACUCCUACGGGAGGCAGCAGUAAGGAAUAUUGGACAAUGGACAAAAGUCUGAUCCAGCCCUGCCGCGGGCGGGGAGAAACCCCCCACGGGGUUUGAAACGGUGUUUUUACACGGAAAAAAAACUCUCCCGACGUCUCGGAGCUUUGACGGUACUGUAAAAAAAGGGUCGGCUAACUCCGUGCCUGCCACCACCGGGGUAAACGGAACCCCGCGCUUUCCGAAAAUUUGGGUUUAAGGGCGGGUCCGCAGGCUGUUUUUUUAAGUCAGAGGUGAAAUCCUGCAGCUCACUGUAGAACUGCCUUUGAUACUGGAAAAACUUUGAUUUAUGUGAGUGGUUAAAUGUGUGGUGGACCGUGAAUGCUAAUUCACACGAAUUCCGUUGCGAGCCAAUCAUUACAAUAUCCUGACGCUAAGAACAAAGCGUGGGAGCAACAGAAUAUUCCUGGGAGCCAACGCAUAACAAGAACUAGCGUCGCUAAAUGGUACAGAGGGCAACGAGGGAUUUUCCCCGGGGAUAGGUCCAACACUGGCUCAAUAUGGAGAG
rnacentral:rRNA from 1 species